AACAAUUAUAAACUAUACCAUUUAAAAGCUUGGAGUCAGUAUUUAUUUAUUUAUUUAAUUUAUUAUUUUAUUUUAUUUGUAUUUUGGGGGGGGGGGGGGGGCGUUAAUACUUUAAUUUAGUAUUAAAAAUUAUAUCUGAAGGAUCAUGUGACUGGAGUAAUGAUGCUAAAUUGUCAAGUGCAGAUGGCAGCGGAGCUUGAACCACCAGAGCCACUGCACAAGAUGGCCGCUAGCCCAGAGCCACUGCACAAAAUGGCCACCAGCCCAGAGCCACUGCACAAGAUGGCUGCCAGCCCAGACCCACUGCAUAAGAUGGCCGCCAGCCCAGAACCCGCUCCUCGCAUGCGCCCUCUAGAGGAAGGUCGGGUCAUGGCACUUCCUCCAGAAAUGGCAGCCACAGCUGACCUUCCAGAGUCACGUCAAGUCACUGUUCCUGAACUUUUUCCCCUGUCUGUAGUGCUUCCCACAAUGGGGAUUGCUUUAUGGAGUGUUUGGGCUGCAUACACCACCACUGAGACUCGUGAGACAGCGGCACCUACUAUGAUGUUUCCAGAGGUGGCAGCUGAUACUGCUGUAGAACCUCCAGAGGUGGCGGCAAUCGCUGCAGAACCUCCAGAGGUGUCAGUUGCACCCGCCUACGAACUCACUGCCUGUCCUGUCACGGCCAUGGAGGCCAUCCACAAACUCACUGCCUGUCCUGUCACGGCCACGGAGGCCAUCCACGAACUCACUGACUGUCCUGUCAUGGCCACGGAGGUCGCCUACGAACUCACUGCCUGUCCUGUCACGGCCAUGGAGGCCGUCCACCAACUCACCGCCUGUCCUGCCACGGAGGCCGUACAUCAACUCACUGCCUGUCCUGUCACAGCCACAGAGGCCGCCUACGAACUUCCUGUCUGUCCUGUCAUGGCUAUGGAAGCCGUCUGUGAAACUUUGUCCUCCCCUGUCAUGGCUAUGAAGACCGUCCAUAAGCUCUCCUUCUGUCCUGUCACGGCUAUGGAGGCUGUAUAUGAACUCUCGUUUACUCCUGUCACAUCUAUGGAGGACAUCUGUGAACUCUCUGCCUGCCCUGUCACGGCUAUGGAGGCCGUUUGUGAACUUUCUACCCGCCUUAUCAUGGCCACGGAGUCCGCCAUUAAUCUGUUUAUGUUCUCUGUUUCAGUCCUGCCUAACCAGACUUGCUAUCCUGUGCCAUCGACUCCACUGUGGUGGUCCUCUGCUCCGCCCUGGUGGGCUUCUGUCCCAUCUGCUCGGCUGUGGUGGUCCUCUGCUCCGCCCUGGUGGGCGUCUGUCCCAUCUGUCGGCUGUGGUGGUCCUCUGGUGCGGCUAUGUCACGAUCGUCAGCUGGAGUGCCCAUGAACUCCAUUUCCCAUAAUCCCGUGCCUAGGGCUAAUCACCGCCAGGUGUUCCCCAUUACCACUCCCCUAUAUAUACUGAUGUCUUGUUUAGCCCAGUUUGACAUUUCCGAGCGGUUUCCUUGUGUUUGUUCCUGCCAUGUCUUAUCUUGGAUUGUUUAUACCGCCUGUGAUUCUCUGCCACCUGCCCCAACCUCUGCCUGGUAUUGUUUCUGAUUCUGGAUAUCCUUUGACAUACUUGACACCGUUCUCUGAUUACUGCCUGUCUGACCAUUCUCUAAAUAAAUCUACUGCAAAUGGAUCUGAACGUCCGAAC
ensembl:lncRNA